UACAUGGGGUGCAAACGUUGCUCGGAAUCAUUGGGCGUAAAGCGCGCGUAGGCGGUUACUUAAGUCGAAUGUGAAAGCCCUCGGCUCAACUGAGGAAGUGCAUCCGAAACUGGCAGGCUAGAGUACUAAAGAGGGUCGCGGAAUUCCCGGUGUAGAGGUGAAAUUCGUAGAUAUCGGGAGGAACACCGGUGGCGAAGGCGGCGACCUGGGUAGAUACUGACGCUGAGGUGCGAAAGCGUGGGGAGCAAACAGG
rnacentral:rRNA from 1 species